ensembl:lncRNA
UUUGUGAGACACUGUAGCUGCAAACCUCAGCUGUCUGGUGUCGAAUAAUGAGUUUGUUGACGGACAAAUAACAUGGUCCCAAACUGGUGUACAGAUCCUUACUCUUGUGUUAUAUUAAUGGUUAUCUUGCAUCAAGUCAACUGUGUCAUGCAUGUUAAUGUAAAAGAGGAAGGAAAUGCUCAUUCCUUUCAGUUAUGCUGUGCAAACAUUCAAUGUGUCAAUCACCCAAUUGCUUGUUUCUUAAAUGGCAAGGAACUGACCUUAAGGAAAAGACCCUCUACCCUUCUUUCUGUAAGUACACUUUAAAUAAUUUUUGAGAUAAACCAUGGAUUAUGGUUAAUAUUGUACUCAAUGCUCUAUAAGGGAUUACAAGGAGAUAACAUGGAUCCAAACUGGUGUGCAGAUCCUUACUCUUGUGUUACAUUAAUGGUUAUCGUGCGUCAAGUUAAUUGUGUCAUGCAUGGUAAUGCAAAAGAGGAAGGAUGUGGUCCACCAGAUCUGUUACUUAUUCUCUGAAAACCUUAAAAAUGUGUAAAUCACCCAGUUACAUCUUGUCUACACAUUGUCGGGGCAAGGAAAAUUACUUUUAGAAGGAGUCAUCUACCCUUCACCCUGUAAGUACGCUUUACUGGAUUGUUAAUGACAACCUAUAUUUUAUGAUAGAUUAAUGAUGUUUUUGGACUCAAUGCUCUAGUCAGGCUUCAGAGAAUAAAAGACAUAUGGAGCAAUAUAUUUAUAAUUAUGUGUGUACAAAAAAGGUGGAAAUGUGAUGGGUCUUUUAGGGAUCUGGGUUGAGAAGGCAUUGGGAAGCUGAGACCAAAACACCCAACAAAAAUGGUUCUAUAAUUUAUUCAAGGCAUGGUUGUCCAUUUGUUUCCACAUUCCAGUAUAAAUCAACACAUUUUCAACCGUUUUGAAAGAAUUCCAUUAUCUUUUUCCAUACAUCAGAUGAUAAUGUUGUCCAUUUUAUUUUAAAAUCAAUCAAUCACGUACAAACAUACAAAAAGGGGAACAGGAGACGAGAUCCAGGAUGCAGAGAUCCAAUGUCUACAUGUUCCAUGUUCCAACUCAGACAUGUCCUGUUAAGAAAAAUUCAGGUAGUCACCUGGGACCUAACCAGUACUACACAGACAGUUACGCCCCCUCCAAAGGCUCCUGGGUGAAGAGGAAAAGAUGAAGAGGGACAACCACCCAAGAUGUGUUCAUGUUUGCUUCUUAAUGGUUUCAAGUGUAUUUAUUCAACUGUUAUAAAGUGUUGUUGUUUAUGUCUCUAAGACUACAAGGUGGCACGACGAUGAGAGCUACAGGAAGUGUGUUGGUGGUCGUUAUCUGGUCUGUAACAGGAACUAUGGCAACAAAAUGUGGACAAACAAGCCUACUGAUGGUGUCUCCCACCAACCCAGUGUGGGGGCAGAAAGUGAUAUUGACCUGUAACGCCCCCUGUAGUCUGAGUGACAACCAAAACCACACCUACAUCGGGUACAAGAAUGGAUACCGUCUUGUCGAUUCCCCCCUCCGGCAAUACACUGAAACCAGUUAUUAUACACACAGUUACUCCUGUGCUGUAAAUGGUUCUGAGGAUCUCCGCUCUCCUGUAGUCUGUAUUCUGGGUAAGUCCUGUUUCAAUGUGACUUACACCCAUCAGACAAUCUCUGCCUUGAUCGGCUCAACAGUGGAUCUUCCCUGCACAUACCAACAUCCGAAUAACCAUACAGUCAUAGAAAUGAACUGGUAUAUACAAGGAGAACGUAAUAAGGCGCCAACAAACCUGAAAUCAUUGCCAGAGUAUUCAGGUCGUGUGAAGUACCUUGGAGAUAAUGUGAGUGACUGUACCCUGAGAAUCACAGACCUGAGAGAGACUGACUCAGCUGAGUACAAGUUCAGGUGUAAAUUCACCUUGAGUAACAAUAGGUUUGCAGAGUGGGGGUACAGCUUCUCAGGAACUACUCUGACUGUCUCAGGACAUGCUCUCCUGUCUCCCUGGGUUCCCGUGGUUACAGUGGGGGCCGUCCUCACUGUUGCAGUUCUUCUAGUCACCAUCUACUGUACCCUGAGGAGGAGAUCUACAGGAGGAAGUGACGCUACAACAGACCCACAGCUCUCUACCCCACAGAGUGUCCAUCCUGAUCCUAACAGUGACAUGUACUCAGCUCUGAACAUGAGGAACAGAUCAACAGACUACGACACUCUAAAUACUCACCCACUGACCAACCAACAGAUAGAUGCAGAGCCCCAUGUUUAUGAGAACUUAUGAGAACCACCACAGAAUCUGGACUGAAGAGAACCACCACAGAACCUGGAUUGUAAAGAACUACCACAGAAUCUGGACUGAAGAGAACCACCACAGAACCUGGACUGAAGAGAACCACCACAGAACCUGGACUGAAGAAAACCAACACAGAACCUGGACUGUAUAGAACCAACACAGAACCUAGAUUGUAUUCGCUUACUUUCUGACUGUCUCUAUACUUUUGAAGAUGCCAUUCUCCUGAAUUAUUUUCCUUCACUGGAUUUCUCUAAAAGAAUAAGGUUGUUUUUGACAACCAUGUUCACAAUGGCUACUUCUACUAUCAUCAACUGGUGUCUCAAUUUAAUGUGAAGUAGUGUUUGGAACACAUUUACAUUUAAAUACAUUUUAGAGAAUUUGAAUACAAGCUUCACAUUCAUGUAAUUUUCCUGUAUUGUUCUACUUGUGCUAAUACAUACAGAGUACAGAAAAAUGGAUAGUCAGCAUAGACAGAAAGGUUUACAGUAAAUUACCAUUUAACAGUAAAAGCAGCUCAGGUUUGUCUUCCUGCUUCCCUCAUUGUCACACCAAGUACAAGAACAUGGUCCAGUACAGUGUCACAAAUCUCCUUAGAGAUUAUUGUUCUUCUUCCUCUCCCAUGUCCACCUCUCUUUCUUCCUCGUCCUCUACUUCUCUUUGACAUUGUCAUCCAUUGUUCCAAAACAAAGGUGAGUUCACCUGUGGUCCUUUUUAUUCAAGCCAUCUUCCUGAUCACCUCUUGACUAAGUAGCUAAUUAGUCAAGUUAAGUAACACACUGACAAUAGUGUUGAGAAUGUUGGACUUGUAAUGCUUCGAGAUUGGUAAUUGAAUGGUGACAGUAUGGUGACAAAGAGAGAUGUGUAUGUUUUAAUAUGAAUGGUAAAUGGUCUUCCACCUCAAACUUUGAAAAAGGCUUUGUGAACAUUGUUAAAAAAAAAAGUUUUAGCAUGUUAGUGGUUGUGAAAAACUGUACAAGCAUCAUAGUAAUCGAGAAAAUCUGUAAUCUAAUCAUUAUCUCUUGUUUUCCUGAAAUCUGAACCUUUCUUACUCUAUGAAAUUGUUGCAAAUAGAAACUCAGAUAUGACCUUUUUCAUGAAAUAAGGACUGAUUUUGUUUCACAUGAUUUACUCAACUGAGUUUUGCAUUUUUGGUGGAGAACUUUAUUAAACUGUUUUUGUGGAAAAGCAAUAAAAAAUAAUUAUUUUGUGGGGAAAAAGGAGUUCUGUUGUUGUUUUUGGGUUAUGAUGGAGGUCUGCUUGACCCCAAGUUCAAUGAAAGUGACUCAGAUAUCAAGAUUCUAUCUUAAACAGGAAGGACAAUAUACAACCUCAUUGCUAUUUGUCAUCUUUGAACAUGUGACACAUACACUGUGUUUCCUCAUUGUCAGUCAGUGUGAAAAAGUC